CUCCACUCUCUCUCUCUAGGAUUUUUCCUCUCUCUACAAAGAAGUCGCCGUUUUGCGCCGGUUUCGCGUCCCGCUCGACGCUCGCUGUUUAGGUGGACUUGGGGCCAGCUUUUAAAAGGUAAAAUGGAGUGUUUUGACAGUAUGAUUCAUGUCUAAUGCUGAGAAUCACUGAAAGAGAGUUUUAGAGGGAUAUUUAACUUGAUUUCUCUCUACUUCAUAGUUUAGCGUCGGAUUUUGACGCGUUUUGGUUUCGUUGCUUCCAUCUGCGUGUAAUAGGGAUUCCAGCAGCUAGAGGUGAGAUUUUUAGCUGUGAAUUGACCCCCUUAGACCAGGGACGAACUACUUUGAAGCUUGCUUGAGGUAAUUAGCUACUUACAAAGCUAAUUCGGAACUAAAUACAAUUUAUUGGAACAACUUGAUGCAGUGUGGCAUGUUUGCUUCGCAGCAGGUUUCUGAACCUUAUUGAAUCAAAUUGGUGAUCUUGGGAACUGGUUUGGAAGGUGUUCUAACCAGGGGUAAGUGGAAAUUUCAGUUAGGAAGCUGAAUUAUUAAGGUUUCGGC
rnacentral:lncRNA from 1 species